rnacentral:lncRNA from 1 species
UUUAUAAACAAUCCCCACCCCUCUUGUUUAAUAAUAAAUUUUUGACUGAAGUUAAGGACUUUAAAUUUCUAGGGAAUAUUAUUAACUAUAGGGGAAAUUUUACAAAAACUACUGAAGAGCUGUCUAAAAAAGGCAUUAAAGUUUUAUUUUUAUUGAGAAAAUAUAUGUCCAAUUUUAAUUUUGUUCCCACUAAUUUGUCAUGUAAAUUAUUUGAUACUCUUAUAAGACCUAUUUUGACAUACAACUCUGAGAUUUGGUUUAUGGAUAAUUUUCAGUCAGCUUAUAGGGUAUCUAAUAGAGCUGCAGUAAAUAAUACAUUUUGUGAUACUCUUGCAUUAGCAGAAAAAUAUCCCUUUGAGAAGGUUCAUUCUAAAUUUUGUAAAGCAGUAUUAGGAUUGAAAAAGACAGCCACUAACAUAGGUGCUAGAUCAGAAUUAGGUAGAUUUACUUUGGACUCCUAUAUAAAAACUCAAACACUCAUGUAUUUUUAUAGAAUAAAUUGUAAUGAUAUUAAUCCCCUGGUUAAAGAAUCUCUACAAACAAACAUAAAUUUACAUUCAGAAGGAAUUUAUUCUUGGUACUCUUUUGCAGAUAAAAUUUUUAAAGAAAUGAAAAUAAACCC